UUGGUACAAAGAGAAGCGAAGCGGUGACGUGGAGCAAACCUCAGAAAGCCAAUCUCAGUUCGGAUUGUAGGCUGCAACUCGCCUACAUGAAGUUGGAAUCGCUAGUAAUCGCGAAUCAGAAUGUCGCGGUGAAUACGUUCCCGGGUCUUGUACACACCGCCCGUCACACCACGAGAGUUUACAACACCCGAAGUCAGUGGCCUAACCGUAAGGAGGGAGCUGCCUAAGGUGGGGUAGAUGAUUGGGGUGAAGUCGUAACAAGGUACC
rnacentral:rRNA from 1 species